AACGAACGUUAGCGGCGCGCCUAACACAUGCAAGUCGCACGAGAAAGGGCUUCGGCCCCGGUAAAGUGGCGCACGGGUGAGUAACACGUGGGUAACCUGCCCUCGAGCGGGGGAUAACAUUCCGAAAGGAGUGCUAAUACCGCAUAAGACCACGACCUCGAAAGAGGUUGAGGUCAAAGCUGGCCUCUAUACAUAAGCUAGCACUUGAGGAUGGGCCCGCGGAGCAUCAGCUAGUUGGUGAGGUAAUGGCUCACCAAGGCUAAGACGCUUAGCUGGUCUGAGAGGAUGAUCAGCCACACUGGAACUGAGACACGGUCCAGACUCCUACGGGAGGCAGCAGUGGGGAAUCUUGCGCAAUGGGCGAAAGCCUGACGCAGCGACGCCGCGUGAGUGAUGAAGGCCUCGGGUUGUAAGCUCUGUGGGGCGGAGACGAAUAAGUAGCAGCCUAAUACGUUGUCAUGAUGACGGUA
rnacentral:rRNA from 1 species